UGACGGGUAACGGAGAAUUAGGGUUCGAUUCCGGAGAAGGAGCCUGAGAGACGGCUACUACAUCUAAGGAAGGCAGCAGGCGCGCAAAUUUCCCAAUGCUCAUCGAGCGAGGAAGUGACGAUCAAUAAUAAUGUGUUAGGUUUACCUUUCGCAAUUACAAUGAGUAAAAUGUACAAGCGUUUUCCAUGAUCAAUUGGAGGGCAAGUCUGGUGCCAGCAGCCGCGGUAAUUCCAGCUCCAAUAGGAUAUAUCAAAGUUGCUGCAGUUGAAAAGCUCGUAGUCGUAUUUCUGGUGGGUUGAUGUUUUAGUCGGUGUUAGUAAUAAUGCUUGAUUAGGACCGCCUGCCAUUUUGUGGAAUCAUGUGUCCAGAUUGUGGUUUAUUCUGUGAUUUGGUCGCACCACUCCGUCACUGAGAGCAAAUUGGAGUGCUCAAAGCAAGCUUUACAGCUUUGAACAUCUUAGCUUGGAAUGACAAAGUAUGACUUAUUGUUCACUUUGUUGGUUAUGAAUAGAAAGUAAUGAUAAAUAGGAACAGUUGCGGGGGUACUCGUACUGGAAAGUCAGAGGUGAAAUUCUUGGAUUUUUCCACGACGAACGACUGCGAAAGCAUUUACCAAGGAUGUUUUCAUUGAUCAAGAACGAAAGUGCGAGGAUCGAAGAUGAUUAGAUACCAUCGUAGUUCGCACAGUAAACGAUGCCGACUCGGGAUUAAGUCCUCUUCGUUAUUAUAGAAGGAUCUUAGCACCGUAUGUGAAAACAAAGUCUUUGGGUUCCGGGGGGAGUAUGGUCGCAAGGCUGAAACUUAAAGGAAUUGACGGAAGGGCACACCAGAGGUGGAGCCUGCGGUUUAAUUUGACCCAACACGGGGAAACUCACCAGGUCCAGACAUGAGAAGGAUUGACAGUUUGAAAGCACUUUCUUGAUUUCAUGGGUGGUGGUGCAUGGCCGUUCUUAGUUGGUGGAGUGAUUUGUCUGGUUGAUUCCGAUAACGAACGAGACUCUCAGAGUAAACUGGUUUAGGUGGUAAUUUGCGUUACUUCCGGCCUCUUUUCUCGACAAUUCGUUUUUAACGAAAGGAAGCGGAGAGCAAUAACGGGUCUGUGAUGCCCCUCGAUGUUCUGGGCUACACGCGCGCUACAAUGACGAGUUCAACGAGUUUUUUCUCGUUGCCCGGAAGGGUGUGGGUAAUCUUUUCAAUGCUCGUCGUGAUGGGGCUAGAUUUUUGCAAUUAUUAAUCUUCAACGAGGAAUCUCUAGUAUGUGCAGUUCAUCAGACUGCGCAGAAUGCGUCCCUGCCCUUUGUACACACCGCCCGUCGCACCUACCGAUUGAACGAUCCGGCAAGAUGUUUGGAGUUGUGUUUGUUGGACUUUCGGGUUUGACAGAUACGACAAAGCUCCUCAAACCUUAUCGUUUAGAGGAAGGUGAAGUCGUAACAAGGUC
rnacentral:rRNA from 1 species